rnacentral:rRNA from 1 species
ACACGUAGGGGGCGAGCGUUACCCGGAUUUACUGGGCGUAAAGGGCGCGUAGGCGGUUCGGCAAGUCUUCUGUGAAAGCUCCCGGCUUAACUGGGAGAGGUCGGGGGAAACUACCGGGCUAGAGGACAGCAGAGGAGAGUAGAAUUCCCGGUGUAGCGGUGAAAUGCGUAGAUAUCGGGAGGAAUACCAGUGGCGAAAGCGGCUCUCUGGGCUGCUCCUGACGCUGAGGCGCGAAAGCGCGGGUAGCAAACAGGAUUAGAAACCCGAGUAGUCC